CAAAAAUCGAUCAAGUUCCAUAUACUCUACAAUUCACCUUAAGCCCGCAACGUUUUUCUCGUAAAACGCAGCAUGUAAGGUAAAAAUCGUAACAGCGCUCCUAGAGCUAUACGAAACAUCCUUAAAAAUACACGAAAUAAAUCUUCAGGGGCCAACUCUUCACAAAACACACUGAAAGAAAACGCUUCUUCCCAGGGACAGAUCUACGCAACCCCUUGGUCCUAAUUCCUCUAUCAUAAAUAAAACUCCUUAACAUCCAAACAGGAACAACAAUGUUGGCUGCGAACAUGGGUAAACAAA
rnacentral:lncRNA from 1 species